rnacentral:rRNA from 2 species
GGGUUGUGAGGUUAAGCGACUAAGCGUACACGGUGGAUGCCCUGGCAGUCAGAGGCGAUGAAGGACGUGCUAAUCUGCGAUAAGCGCCGGUAAGGUGAUAUGAACCGUUAUAACCGGCGAUUUCCGAAUGGGGAAACCCAGUGUGAUUCGUCACACUAUCAUUAACUGAAUCCAUAGGUUAAUGAGGCGAACCGGGGGAACUGAAACAUCUAAGUACCCCGAGGAAAAGAAAUCAACCGAGAUUCCCCCAGUAGCGGCGAGCGAACGGGGAGGAGCCCAGAGCCUGAAUCAGCAUGUGU